AAUAAUGAUUCGGGAUGAAGAUUUGCUAGAACACAAGAAGCUUUAAUAGCCAGUCCGGUGCACCUCCCAACAGUCCCCUGAUAACUCAAUUUGAACAUUUAUCCAAGCCUGACUUCUAGAUCCCAUCCUAACAUAUAAUCUAAGAAACUUGGAAACAAGAAGACAAUAAAACAAUGCCUUUAAGAUGCUACAGGAAGGUGUACCUGGGUGGCUCAGUCAUUACGUGUCUGCCUUUGACUCAGGUCAUGAUCCCAAGAUCCUGGGAUUGAGCCCCACAUUGGACUCCCUGCUCAGCGGGAAAACUCCUUCUCCCUCUUCCACUCCCCCUGCUUAUGUUCCCUCUCUU